rnacentral:rRNA from 1 species
CAAUUUGGGAGAUGUAUAGCAAUAGCUGAUUGCACCAACAAACAGUUGAUGCAAAAUUGAUUAUAUCAAAUAAAAUUCUAGGUAGAUUUUUGAUAAUGACAUUGCUUACCUAAGUCUUGACCAAAUUACGUGCCAGCAGUCGCGGUAAUACGUAAAAGACUAGUGUUAUUCAUCUUUAAUUGGUUUAAAGGGUACCUAGACAGCGAAUAAAGCCAUAGUAGGGACUAAUUCGCUAGAGUUACUUAUGAGGGGGUAUUAAAGUACUGCAGGUGUAGAGAUGAAAUUUUGUUAUACCUCUUCUCGUAUGAGAAACUAUGGCACAGGUAUAGGUGAAAGCAUCCCCUUAUGUGAUAACUGACGUUGAGGGACGAAGGCUUUGUGUCCCGAACAGGAUUAGAUACCCCAAUAGUCAAAGCAUAAAAUGGUGAAUGUCAUAGAUUAAUAUGCAAUUUAUUCGGGGGGUGAAAGUGUAAGCAUUCCACCUCAAGAGUGGUUUGGGGGCGGGGGAACUGAAAUCAUUAGACCGUUUCUGAAACCAGUAG